rnacentral:rRNA from 1 species
CCUACGGGGAUCUGCAGUGGGGAAUAUUGGACAAUGGGCGAAAGCCUGAUCCAGCCAUGCCGCGUGUGUGAAGAAGGCCUUCGGGUUGUAAAGCACUUUCAGUGGGGAAGAAAGCCUUGGGGCUAAUACCCUCGAGGAAGGACAUCACCCACAGAAGAAGCACCGGCUAACUCCGUGCCAGCAGCCGCGGUAAUACGGAGGGUGCGAGCGUUAAUCGGAAUUACUGGGCGUAAAGCGCGCGUAGGCGGUCUGAUAAGCCGGUUGUGAAAGCCCCGGGCUCAACCUGGGAACGGCAUCCGGAACUGUCAGGCUAGAGUGCAGGAGAGGAAGGUAGAAUUCCCGGUGUAGCGGUGAAAUGCGUAGAGAUCGGGAGGAAUACCAGUGGCGAAGGCGGCCUUCUGGACUGACACUGACGCUGAGGUGCGAAAGCGUGGGUAGCAAACAGGAUUAGAUACCCGUGUAGUC